rnacentral:rRNA from 1 species
AUUGAACGCUGGCGGCAGGCCUAACACAUGCAAGUCGAGCGGAGCGGCGGACGGGUGAGUAAUGCCUAGGAAUCUGCCUGGUAGUGGGGGAUAACGUCCGGCAACGGGCGCUAACACCGCAUACUAUCAGAUGAGCCUAGGUCGGAUGAGCUAGUUGGUGGGGUAAAGGCCUACCAGGGGGACGGUCCGUAACGGGUCUGAGAGGAUGAUUAGUCACACUGGAACUAGGACACGAUCCGAACACCUACGGGGGGAGGCAGGGGGGAAUAUUGGACAAUGAGCGAAGGCCAGGUCCAGCCAUGCCGCGGGUGUGAAGAGGGUCUUCGGAUUGUAAAGCACUUUAAGUUGGGAGGCGUUACCAACAGAAUAAGCACCGGCUAACUUCGUGCCAGCCGCCGCGGUAAUAC